CCAGACUCCUACGGGAGGCAGCAGUGGGGAAUAUUGGGCAAUGGGCGCAAGCCUGACCCAGCAACGCCGCGUGAAGGAAGAAGGCUUUCGGGUUGUAAACUUCUUUUGUCAGGGACGAAGCAAGUGGCGGUACCUGACGAAUAAGCCACGGCUAACUACGUGCCAGCAGCCGCGGUAAUACGUAGGUGGCAAGCGUUAUCCGGAUUUACUGGGUGUAAAGGGCGUGUAGGCGGGGAAGCAAGUCAGAUGUGAAAACCACGGGCUCAACCUGUGGCCUGCAUUUGAAACUGUUUUUCUUGAGUGCUGGAGAGGCAAUCGGAAUUCCGUGUGUAGCGGUGAAAUGCGUAGAUAUUGGGAAGAACACCGGCGGCGAAGGCGGCCUUCUGGGCCACGACUGACGCUGAGGCGCGAAAGCUAGGGGAGCGAACAGGAUUAGAUACCCCAGUA
rnacentral:rRNA from 1 species